GUCUUUGUGGAGUAAGAAACUCGUUUCCUUUCCGUCAUAUGCGAAUUCUGCAUCGAUAUUUGGGACAGUCGGUGGUUCGAGUCCACCCGAAGACA